GAUGAACGCUGGCGGCGUGCCUAAUACAUGCAAGUCGAGCGAACAGACGAGGAGCUUGCUCCUCUGACGUUAGCGGCGGACGGGUGAGUAACACGUGGAUAACCUACCUAUAAGACUGGGAUAACUUCGGGAAACCGGAGCUAAUACCGGAUAAUAUAUUGAACCGCAUGGUUCAAUAGUGAAAGACGGUUUUGCUGUCACUUAUAGAUGGAUCCGCGCCGCAUUAGCUAGUUGGUAAGGUAACGGCUUACCAAGGCGACGAUGCGUAGCCGACCUGAGAGGGUGAUCGGCCACACUGGAACUGAGACACGGUCCAGACUCCUACGGUGGGCAGCAGUAGGGAAUCUUCCGCGAUGGGCGAAAGCCUGACGGAGCAACGCCGCGUGAGUGAUGAAGGUCUUCGGAUCGUAAAACUCUGUUAGUAGGGAAGAACAAAUGUGUAAGUAACUAUGCACGUCUUGACGGUACCUAAUCAGAAAGCCACGGCUAACUACGUG
rnacentral:rRNA from 1 species